rnacentral:rRNA from 1 species
CAGUAGCCACGGUAAUACGUAGGGUGCGAGCGUUAAUCGGAAUGACUGGGCGUAAAGGGUGCGCAGGCGGUUAGUUAAGACAAAUGUGAAAGCCCCGGGCUCAACCUGGGAAUGGCAUUCGUGACUGGCUAGCUAGAAUAUGGCAGAGGGAGGUAGAAUUCCACAUGUAGCAGUGAAAUGCGUAGAUAUGUGGAGGAAUACCGAUGGCGAAGGCAGCCUCCUGGGUCAAUAUUGACGCUCAGGCACGAAAGCGUGGGGAGCAAACAGGAUUAGAUACCCCCGUAGUCCCUGUCUCUUAUAC